rnacentral:rRNA from 1 species
CUACGGGCUGCAGCAGUGGGGAAUAUUGGACAAUGGGGGAAACAAUGAGACAGCAAUGCCGCGUGUGUGAAGCCUUCCUGCGGGUUGUAACUCCCUUCCCGGGGGGAGGAAUGAUUCUAGCACUAAUAUUGUUGGAAGUUGACGUUACCUUCAGAAGAAGCACCGGCUAACUCCGUGCCAGAAGCCGCGGGUAAUACGGAGGGUGCAAGCGUUAAUCGGAAUUACUGGGCGUAAAGCGCGCGUAGGCGGCUAGAUCAGUCGGGUGUGAAAGCCCCGGGCUUAACCUGGGAACUGCAUCCGAUACUGUCUAGCUUGAGUACAGGAGAGGAGAGUGGAAUUCCACAUGUAGCGGUGAAAUGCGUAGAUAUGUGGAGGAACACCAAUGGCGAAGGCAGCUCUCUGGCCUGAUACUGACGCUGAGGUGAGAAAGCGUGGGGAGCAAACAGGAUUAGAUACCCGUGUAGUC